rnacentral:rRNA from 1 species
AUUGAACGCUGGCGGCAGGCCUAACACAUGCAAGUCGAGCGGAUGAAGGGAGCUUGCUCCUGGAUUCAGCGGCGGACGGGUGAGUAAUGCCUAGGAAUCUGCCUGGUAGUGGGGGACAACGUUUCGAAAGGAACGCUAAUACCGCAUACGUCCUACGGGAGAAAGCAGGGGACCUUCGGGCCUUGCGCUAUCAGAUGAGCCUAGGUCGGAUUAGCUAGUUGGUGAGGUAAUGGCUCACCAAGGCGACGAUCCGUAACUGGUCUGAGAGGAUGAUCAGUCACCCUGGAACUGAGACACGGACCAGACUCCUACGGGAGGCAGCAGUGGGGAAUAUUGGACAAUGGGCGAAAGCCUGAUCCAGCCAUGCCGCGUGUGUGAAGAAGGUCUUCGGAUUGUAAAGCACUUUAAGUUGGGAGGAAGGGUUGUAGAUUAAUACUCUGCAAUUUUGACGUUACCGACAGAAUAAGCACCGGCUAACUCUGUGCCAGCAGCCGCCGCCGUAA